AUCCAGCUGACGAGUCCCACAUAGAACGGAACGCAUGUUUUGAAU
rnacentral:hammerhead_ribozyme from 1 species